CCUACGGGGCGGCAGCAGUGGGGAAUAUUGGACAAUGGGCGAAAGCCUGAUCCAGCCAUGCCGCGUGUGUGAAGAAGGCCUUCGGGUUGUAAAGCACUUUCAGUGGGGAAGAAAGCCUUGGGGCUAAUACCCUCGAGGAAGGACAUCACCCACAGAAGAAGCACCGGCUAACUCCGUGCCAGCAGCCGCGGUAAUACGGAGGGUGCGAGCGUUAAUCGGAAUUACUGGGCGUAAAGCGCGCGUAGGCGGUCUGAUAAGCCGGUUGUGAAAGCCCCGGGCUCAACCUGGGAACGGCAUCCGGAACUGUCAGGCUAGAGUGCAGGAGAGGAAGGUAGAAUUCCCGGUGUAGCGGUGAAAUGCGUAGAGAUCGGGAGGAAUACCAGUGGCGAAGGCGGCCUUCUGGACUGACACUGACGCUGAGGUGCGAAAGCGUGGGUAGCAAACAGGAUUAGAUACCCGAGUAGUC
rnacentral:rRNA from 1 species